AUUUCAGUGGCUGUGGCAACAGAUAAAGGCUUACUUACUCCAAUCAUAAAAGAUGCUGCUGCUAAAGGUAUCCAGGAAAUUGCUGACUCUGUAAAGGCUCUAUCAAAGAAAGCAAGAGAUGGAAAAUUGUUGCCUGAAGAAUACCAAGGAGGAUCUUUUAGACGGAGUCUGGCUCUGUCGCCCAGGUUGCAAUGCAGUGGUAUGAUCUAGGCUCACUGCAACCUCCACCUCCUGGGUUCAAGCGAUUCUCCUGCCUCAGCCUCCCAAGUAGCUGGGACUACAGGCACCCACCACUAUGCCUGGCUAAUUUUUGUAUUUUUAGUAGAGACGAGGUUUCACCAUGUUGACCGGGCUGGUCUCAAAUUCCCGACCUCAGAUGAUCUGCCUGCCUCAGCCUCGCAAAUAAGAAUAUAUUUCAGUGUCUUCUUGUUUACUAGCUUUGUUUCUAUUAAUGGCAGUUCUCCAAAAUCUUCAAGAGCUACACUUUGGGAACUUUCCAUUUAUUGUAUACUUUAAUUAAAGGUUUCCAACUGAUUUUAAAUUAA
rnacentral:sRNA from 1 species